UAAGCCGUAGGCAGACGUCUUACUGUAUCACUGAAGAUGGCUAUCUCUACCAGAACCAUUCUCCUUCUUUGCUUGGCCUUUGCGGUUGUGGCGGCGGUGCCGCAGGAGUCUGCUGACGCAGCGCCACCAGCGGUCCCUAGCGGGGGUGCCGCCGGCAACCAGGAGCCGGUGCAGCCGGUGGCGGUGGCCGGUGACCAGCCGUUACAAGACCGCUGGGGGAUAUCUGUUUCCUUCAACACCCGCUGAACAGACUGUUGGCACAUCCAAGAAACAGGCUACUUCAUUGUCAACUUCUCUAUUUCUUGCACAGUUGAAACAUUAACACUAGUACUGCUGUUGCAUCAAGAGCUACCUUUUCUUUUUCAAAACUAUAGAUGGACAUGCGUUACAAACGAAUGAAUAAAUUUUAGCAUUCGUAAAA